rnacentral:tRNA from 1 species
GAAUGUGUAGCUCACUGGUAGAGCACAUGCUUACCAUGCAUAAGGCCAUGGGUUCAAUCCCCAACACACACA